GAAAUGCGAUAAGUAAUGUGAAUUGCAGAAUUCAGUGAAUCAUCGAAUCUUUGAACGCACAUUGCGCCCGCCAGUAUUCUGGCGGGCAUGCCUGUUCGAGCGUCAUUACAACCCUCAGGCCCCCGGGCCUGGCGUUGGGGAUCGGCGGAAGCCCCCUGCGGGCAUAACGCCGUCCCCCAAAUACAGUGGCGGUCCCGCCGCAGCUUCCAUUGCGUAGUAGCUAACACCUCGCAACUGGAGAGCGGCGCGGCCACGCCGUAAAACACCCAACUUCUGAAUGUUGACCUCGAAUCAGGUAGGAAUACCCGCUGAACUUAAGC
rnacentral:misc_RNA from 1 species